GUAGGCUGGUUUUCCAGGCAAAUCCGGAAAAUCAAGGCUGAGGCGUGAUGACGAGGCACUACGGUGCUGAAGCAACAAAUGCCCUGCUUCCAGGAAAAGCCUCUAAGCAUCAGGUAACAUCAAAUCGUACCCCAAACCGACACAGGUGGUCAGGUAGAGAAUACCAAGGCGCUUGAGAGAACUCGGGUGAAGGAACUAGGCAAAAUGGUGCCGUAACUUCGGGAGAAGGCACGCUGACACGUAGGUGAAGUGAUUUACUCAUGGAGCUGAAGUCAGUCGAAGAUACCAGCUGGCUGCAACUGUUUAUUAAAAACACAGCACUGUGCAAACACGAAAGUGGACGUAUACGGUGUGACGCCUGCCCGGUGCCGGAAGGUUAAUUGAUGGGGUCAGCGCAAGCGAAGCUCCUGAUCGAAGCCCCGGUAAACGGCGGCCGUAACUAUAACGGUCCUAAGGUAGCGAAAUUCCUUGUCGGGUAAGUUCCGACCUGCACGAAUGGCGUAAUGAUGGCCAGGCUGUCUCCACCCGAGACUCAGUGAAAUUGAACUCGCUGUGAAGAUGCAGUGUACCCGCGGCAAGACGGAAAGACCCCGUGAACCUUUACUAUAGCUUGACACUGAACAUUGAGCCUUGAUGUGUAGGAUAGGUGGGAGGCUUUGAAGCGUGGACGCCAGUCUGCGUGGAGCCGACCUUGAAAUACCACCCUUUAAUGUUUGAUGUUCUAACGUGGAUCCGUAAUCCGGGUUGCGGACAGUGUCUGGUGGGUAGUUUGACUGGGGCGGUCUCCUCCUAAAGAGUAACGGAGGAGCACGAAGGUUGGCUAAUCCUGGUCGGACAUCAGGAGGUUAGUGCAAUGGCAUAAGCCAGCUUGACUGCGAGCGUGACGGCGCGAGCAGGUGCGAAAGCAGGUCAUAGUGAUCCGGUGGUUCUGAAUGGAAGGGCCAUCGCUCAACGGAUAAAAGGUACUCCGGGGAUAACAGGCUGAUACCGCCCAAGAGUUCAUAUCGACGGCGGUGUUUGGCACCUCGAUGUCGGCUCAUCACAUCCUGGGGCUGAAGUAGGUCCCAAGGGUAUGGCUGUUCGCCAUUUAAAGUGGUACGCGAGCUGGGUUUAGAACGUCGUGAGACAGUUCGGUCCCUAUCUGCCGUGGGCGCUGGAGAACUGAGGGGGGCUGCUCCUAGUACGAGAGGACCGGAGUGGACGCAUCACUGGUGUUCGGGUUGUCAUGCCAAUGGCACUGCCCGGUAGCUAAAUGCGGAAGAGAUAAGUGCUGAAAGCAUCUAAGCACGAAACUUGCCCCGAG
rnacentral:rRNA from 1 species